GAUGAGCAUGCGUCCCAUUAGCUAGUUGGUAAGGUAACGGCUUACCAAGGCUACGAUGGGUAGGGGUCCUGAGAGGGAGAUCCCCCACACUGGUACUGAGACACGGACCAGACUCCUACGGGAGGCAGCAGUGAGGAAUAUUGGACAAUGGGCGCAAGCCUGAUCCAGCCAUGCCGCGUGCAGGAUGACGGUCCUAUGGAUUGUAAACUGCUUUUGUACGGGAAGAAACACUCCUUCGUGAAGGAGCUUGACGGUACCGUAAGAAUAAGGAUCGGCUAACUCCGUGCCAGCAGCCGCGGUAAUACGGAGGAUCCAAGCGUUAUCCGGAAUCAUUGGGUUUAAAGGGUCCGUAGGCGGUUUAGUAAGUCAGUGGUGAAAGCCCAUCGCUCAACGGUGGAACGGCCAUUGAUACUGCUAGACUUGAAUUAUUAGGAAGUAACUAGAAUAUGUAGUGUAGCGGUGAAAUGCUUAGAGAUUACAUGGAAUACCAAUUGCGAAGGCAGGUUACUACUAAUGGAUUGACGCUGAUGGACGAAAGC
rnacentral:rRNA from 1 species